rnacentral:pre_miRNA from 1 species
ACUAAAUAACGGCAUGGACUUUUAGACACACUUUUGACCAUUCGUCUUUUUCAAAAAAAUUACAUAAUUAACAUUUAUUUUGUUGCGAAUUGUUUUAUCACUAAAAAUACUUUAAGCAUGAUUUAUAUCUAAUGCAUUUGCACAAAUUUUUUUAAUAAGACGAAUGGUUAAACGUGUGUCCAAAAGUCAACGAUGUCAUCUAUU